UUCUUAUCAAGAGUGGUGGAGGGACUGGCCCUGUGAAACCCGGCAACCUGUUAAUAGUUAACAGUUAUUAGUUAAUAGUGAAGAGUUUAGUAAUAAUUAUAGAAAGUUAUUAUUAAGAAAUUACGAAAAUAUUUCAUAUAAAACUCUAAAUUUUAAACUUUUAAUUUUUAACUGUAUUCGUGGUGCUAAUUCCAGCAGCUGUAGAGCUGAUAGAUGAGAG
rfam:Clostridium disporicum strain 2789STDY5834856 genome assembly, contig: SCcontig000032